UACGUAGGGGGCAAGCGUUGUCCGGAUUUAUUGGGCGUAAAGAGCGUGUAGGCGGCCAGGUAGGUCUGCUGUGAAAACUCGAGGCUUAACCUCGAGCUGUCGGCGGAAACCAUCUGGCUAGAGUCCGGAAGAGGAGAAUGGAAUUCCCGGUGUAGCGGUGAAAUGCGCAGAUAUCGGGAAGAACACCCGUGGCGAAGGGGGUUCUCUGGGACGGUACUGACGCUGAGACGCGAAAGCGUGGGGAGCGAACAGG
rnacentral:rRNA from 1 species